UGUCUACAUACAAUCAGCAGCUAUGGCUGA
rnacentral:piRNA from 1 species